CUCUCUCGCCAGAUCCAUCUCCCCCGACAAUUGCCGCAUAAUUAAUCUUCAUCAUCACUGUCGCCGGAAUAUUUCCGCCGGAACCGAAGAUUUUUGAUAGAGUUUGGUUUUUUAUUUAAUGGAUUGAUUGUCAAUUCAUCACCAUCAACAACUAAGUCACCACCCCUCUCUCUCGCCGGAUUCAUCGCCACCGGAUUCAUCACAAUCAACAAAGGAUGACCUGAAAGAGCUUCAUGAAAUUCUUGCUUCAACCAUGAGAAAAAAGAAAGAACGAAUUGGGGAAUUUUGGGAAACGAAUUGGGUACAUUGCCAACUUCAGAAUUAGGAUUGGUUCAGUACUUUAAAAUGCAAAUAUGUUUGUACCUUAUGCAGGGAUCGCAUGUUUGGAGUGAUGACAAACGCUGGGCAACGGGUUAAAAAAGGGAGAAGAGAUGACCGUGAAUUACAUGAGUAGCCAGAGGAACAACAUACCCAUCCAGAAGAUAUGGCCUUUGAACACCAUCAGUUGAUUCGGACCUUGGCUACCAUUUUUUACUUGACAAUGUUAUUGUAGUUCAAGGAUAGAUUUUCAAGCUGGUGUCUUGGCCGCGAGAAAGUUAGAAGGGUGGUAGAGGUGGUGCAUGUAACAGGUAACAGUUUGAAGUUCAUUGAAUGGGGUGUCGAGAUUGCAUGGGUCAAAGUAGAUGAUGAGAAUGGGUUUAAAUCGUAAGUAUUUUUUUGAAACACUUUGAGGAUGUUUGUGGAGGAAGUGUCGCUCAAUGGAGAUAAUGGAUCAGUAAAGAAAGACCCUUACUUCGCACAAGUCGCAAGACAUUGAUUUUUUAUUCUUCAGUUAACAUCAAGUAGAUUUUUCAUUUUAUGAAACCUGAACUUGUGAAAGUCAAUUUUUUUAGUCUCGAUGAAAGGGUGUAGCGCGAACGUUUGACAAUUUUAUAAAAGAUGAUCAAGCCCCGUUGCCAAUGCAGGUGGUAGAUCUUGAUUAUCAUGGUGGAUUAUAGUUAAAGAUGAUAUAGAUUAUUAAAGGCUUGAUUAAAGUAUUGAAGAAGCCUGAAGAUAGAAUGUGUGCGACAUCAGUAUUGAAGCACACCGUCCUUGGCCCUGAGCAGUUGCUGCAACUGCAAGCUUUUCGUUGUGGCGGGUAAGUUUAUAUGGUUGAAGAGAAAUAUUGGAAAAAAAACCUUUUAGCAUGGAGGAUGUGUUUGUGGAUAGACAAAAAACAACCCACCUGUGAGGUUAUGGCGAUGCUCGGGUUCUAUGUGCAGGAUAAGGUCUUGAGGUGUGAACGUGUUUGUUCCCUUUUAGUAUAUAAUUAUUGGGGAACUCAUGUAGUAUAAUUGUUUCUUUUCAUCAGUUAUGGGACUGUGAAGGAAUGGUUGUUAUGUAAUUGCGGGCGCAUGCUACUCUGAUGGUCAAGAUGGAGGAUACAAGACCUUAUAUGAACGUGAUAACCAUUCUUAUGUAACCACUAUUGGUUGGAAGUAGGAUGCACUCCAUUAUAUGAUUUGUUUCAUAAUUUCUUGAUGUGUUUACCGAAUAAAAUCUCCAAUAAUUCACUUGUGUUUCUUUUAAGAUACAUGUAUGUAAUGUUGUUGCCUGGUUGGUUAAAUGCUCCAUCCUUUUAUGAAUUGAA